rnacentral:rRNA from 1 species
GGAGGGAGCGAGCGUUGUUCGGAAUCACUGGGCGUAAAGGGCGCGUAGGCGGCCGAGUAAGUCGUGUGUGAAAGACCGGGGCUCAACUCCGUGUACUGCAUGCGAUACUGCCCGGCUGGAGAAAGGUAGAGGCGAGUGGAAUUCCCGGUGUAGCGGUGGAAUGCGUAGAUAUCGGGAAGAACACCUGUGGCGAAGGCGGCUCGCUGGGCCUUUUCUGACGCUGAAGUGCGAAAGCGUGGGGAGCAAACAGGAUUAGAUACCCUGGUAGUCCACGCCGUAAACGAUGGGCACUAGGCGUUGGGAGGAUUGACCCUCUCAGUGCCGUAGCUAACGCGUUAAGUGCCCCCGGCCUGGGGAUACGGCCGCAAAGGCUG